rnacentral:rRNA from 1 species
GCAGUCGACGCUGAAGCCUGGUGCUUGCACCGGGUGGAUGAGUGGCGAACGGGUGAGUAACACGUGAGUAACCUGCCCCUGACUUCGGGAUAAGCCCGGGAAACUGGGUCUAAUACCGGAUACGACUGCCGGACGCAUGUCUGGUGGUGGAAAGUUUUUUCGGUUGGGGAUGGGCUCGCGGCCUAUCAGUUUGUUGGUGAGGUAAUGGCUCACCAAGACGACGACGGGUAGCCGGCCUGAGAGGGCGACCGGCCACACUGGGACUGAGACACGGCCCAGACUCCUACGGGAGGCAGCAGUGGGGAAUAUUGCACAAUGGGGGAAACCCUGAUGCAGCGACGCAGCGUGCGGGAUGACGGCCUUCGGGUUGUAAACCGCUUUCAGCAGGGAAGAAGCGCAAGUGACGGUACCUGCAGAAGAAGUACCGGCUAACUACGUGCCAGCAGCCGCGGUAAUACGUAGGGUACGAGCGUUGUCCGGAAUUAUUGGGCGUAAAGAGCUCGUAGGUGGUUGGUCACGUCUGCUGUGGAAACGCAACGCUUAACGUUGCGCGUGCAGUGGGUACGGGCUGACUAGAGUGCAGUAGGGGAGUCUGGAAUUCCUGGUGUAGCGGUGAAAUGCGCAGAUAUCAGGAGGAACACCGGUGGCGAAGGCGGGACUCUGGGCUGUAACUGACACUGAGGAGCGAAAGCAUGGGGAGCGAACAGGAUUAGAUACCCUGGUAGUCCAUGCCGUAAACGUUGGGCACUAGGUGUGGGGGGCAUUCCACGUUCUCCGCGCCGUAGCUAACGCAUUAAGUGCCCCGCCUGGGGAGUACGGUCGCAAGGCUAAAACUCAAAGGAAUUGACGGGGGCCCGCACAAGCGGCGGAGCAUGCGGAUUAAUUCGAUGCAACGCGAAGAACCUUACCAAGGCUUGACAUACACCGGACCGUCCUGGAAACAGGUCCUCUUCUUUGAAGCUGGUGUACAGGUGGUUGCAUGGUUGUCGUCAGCUCGUGUCGUGAGAUGGUGGGGUUAAGUCCCGCAACGAGCGCAACCCUCGUUCUAUGUUGCCAGCAUGUGAAUGGUGGGAACUCAUAGG